CCCCCACCCUCUCUUCAGCCUCUCCUGUGACAUUCCUCACUCUCCCAUUUGGGAAGCUUGAGGCCAAGGGCAGAGGAGCCAUCCGAGGCUUGAAUUAAAGGACUUCCUUCAAAUUCUCAAAAGGAGUUUAAUUCUGGACCUGGUCUAUGGAUAAUGGAUGUUUUGGCAGAGUGUAUGCCACCGAGAUAAAGCUGCACCGUGAAACAAAAUGUAUAUGGCCUGAUAUUGUGAUGUUGCACAGUGCAGUCAAAACAAUAGGGAUCUUGGAGUCUUGAAGACUGCAGAAGGCCUCCCUGGUGUUUGAAACAGUCCAAGAAAAGCAUAAUGUUAUGGGGAUCCAACCCAGGCCUUCUGCAUCCUAAGCAAGUGGUCUAACUCUGAGCUACAUUCCCAGCUGUGGAACAAUCUUCUGAUAGCCAGUCACCAAUGCACAAAAGGUGAACCUCAAACUCAUUUUUAUCAGCUUCUACUAAAUUCACCUCCAUUAGCCAUGCAAUUGGACCAAGAAAGUCACAUGGCCAAGUCAAAAAUCUAAUGCUAGAGAUGGAGACUUAACAUAAGAAGGCAUGAUAAGAUUGCAAAUUGUAUUAAGCUGAAGAGAGAAAAAAUGGGAAUAAUAAUUUAUUCAGUCAAAAUACAGAAUGUCUCAUCCCAUCUCAACUUUUUUCUUUAGCAAUUUUCUUGUGUGGAUCCACAAAUAAUCAAUAUUCUCCAACAUGGUUUACAUUCCCCUUCCUUCAGUAAAUAAUGGCAAAAAGUUGUGAAUCCUUGCUAACUAUCAAACUGGAAUAGACUGUUUCAGUGGUGAUAAUGGGUCAGCAGAAGAAGUUAUACUGUAAGCUCAUAGAAUUCUGUAGAUUCUCAUGCAUAGUAUUGCCAUCAUGGACUUGCCAUAGAUUUUUUCAUGCUCUUAGUAUCCAGAAGUAGGAUUUUGUCAUUGAAUAUGUCCCUUGCAUCUGAAUUUGUUUCAUCUGUGUUCAAUGAAGAUUUAAUUUAAAAAUACAUGAAUUUACUGAAUUAUAUAGAAUAUACUGAGCCCUUUCAUGUUUGAAAUAAUGUAAAUCAUUGACAUGUGAGCUUUCCCUUGAUUUUACACUU